rnacentral:rRNA from 1 species
GACGAACGCUGGCGGCGUGCCUAAUACAUGCAAGUAGAACGCACAGUUUAUACCGUAGCUUGCUACACCAUAGACUGUGAGUUGCGAACGGGUGAGUAACGCGUAGGUAACCUGCCUGGUAGCGGGGGAUAACUAUUGGAAACGAUAGCUAAUACCGCAUAAUAUUAAUUAUUGCAUGAUAAUUAAUUGAAAGGUGCAAUUGCACCACUACCAGAUGGACCUGCGUUGUAUUAGCUAGUAGGUGAGGUAACGGCUCACCUAGGCGACGAUACAUAGCCGACCGGGGAGGGGGAUCGCCCACAUGGGGACUGGAACACGCCCCAGAGUCCUACGGGAGGCGGCAGUAGGGAAUCUUCGGCAAUGGACGAAAGUCUGACCGAGCAACGCGGCGUGAGUGAAGAAGGUUUUGGGUUCGUAAAGCUCUGUUUUAAGGGAGGAACGGGUGUGGGAGUGGAAGGUCCACACUGGGCGGUAUCUUACCAGAAAGGGACGGCUAACUACGUG